UUCCUACGGGGGGCAGCAGUGGGGAAUAUUGCACAAUGGGGGAAACCCUGAUGCAGCGACGCCGCGUGAGUGAAGAAGUAUUUCGGUAUGUAAAGCUCUAUCAGCAGGGAAGCAGCAAGACGGUACCUGACUAAGAAGCCCCGGCUAACUACGUGCCAGCAGCCGCGGUCCUACGUAGGGGGCACGCGUUAUCCGGAUUUACUGGGUGUAACGGGAGCGUAGACGGUAUGGCAAGUCUGAAGUGAACGCCCAGGGCUU
rnacentral:rRNA from 1 species